CCCAUACAAGAGCCGAGUACUGCAGUGUGCACUUGUAACUCCAGUACUGGAGGGUAGAAAUAGGCAGAUCCCAGGACUAUCAGUGAACUCUCCAGGCUCAAUGAGAAACUGUUUCAAAAAGAAAAAAAAAUGAACAGAGAGAAACUGAAGAAGACACCUGAUGAAGUGGGAAGUUUUGGUUUCACUGGAGACACAAUUUUGCCAUGUGAUGUUUUUCUGGAAGCUGUCUAGUGAAAGGGCACGUGAUGUUUUGCUGGAGCAGAGGCCUGAGAGGACGUGUGAUGUUUAAAAAGAGCAGAUAAAUGCACUGAAGAACUUCCAGAGGUAUUGCUGUUCUGGCUGCUUCUUGCCACUUCAGCAGUCUCAUGCUGAUCAGUGGUUUUCUUCUGGAUUAAGCUGCUGCUGCUGUUUUGAGUGGACUGGACUGCUGACAACCAAGAUUGGAAUUG
rnacentral:lncRNA from 1 species